AGACAAGGAACUCCAGGCAGCAGUGGCGAAGCUAAGCAGCUCCAUCCUUAAGGGGCGGAGGCCGGCUCAUAUUUGCCUAUUAGGGCCGUGGGACGCCGAGGUUCUGCUGGGUCCCUCCUGGAAAUAGAUCCUUCCCAGCCAGCACCCGAAGUCAGCAGCAGAGGGCAAAGCACCUGGGCUUUAUUUAGCUCCAAGCUCCACGAUCCUCCAGCAUAUUGUUCCUGGAAGAGGCAAAAGCCUAGGGCUUCAAGAUGCCGGGGCUUUAAGAAACCAAGGCAUGACCUCAAGUGAUUUGCCGGAGGUGGCCUCGGUGGCAGCAGUCAUUGAAGAAAGGAAGACAGCUGCCCAGCCAGUCUGACAGACCAUACACAGACAGCCCUGUUCACAGGGAGGCGUGGGCAAAGAUUUCAUGACGAAACAUCAAAAGCAAUUGCAACAAAAGCAAAAAUUGACAAAUAUGAUUUAAUUAAACAAAAGAGCUUCUGCACAGCAAAAGAAACCAUCAUCAGAGUGAACAGACACAACCUAUAGAACGGGAGAACACUUUUGCAAUCUAUCCAUCUGACAAAGGUCUAAUAUCCAGAGUCUACAAGGAACUUAAACAAAUUUACAAGAAAAAAACAAACUACCCCAUUAAACAGUGGGCAAAAAACAUGAACAGACACUUCUCAAAAGAAGACAUUUAUGCAUCCAAAAAACACGAUAAAAAGCUCAGCGUCACUGAUCAUUAGAGAAACGCAAAUCAAAACAACGAGAUACCAGUCAGAAUGGCAACUAUUAAAAAGUCAAGAGGCCAAGUGCAGUGGCUAAUGCCUGUAAUCCCAACACUUUGAGAGGCCGAGGUGAGCAGAUCACUUGAGGUCAGGAGUUCAAGACCAGCCUGGCCAAUGUGGUAAAACCCUGUGUCCACUAAAAAUGCAAAAAUUAGCUGGGCAUGGUGGUGCAUGCCUGUGGUCCUAGCUACUUGGGACCUGCUGAGGCAGGAGAAUCACUUGAACUCAGGAGGCAGAGGUUGCAGCGAGUUGAGAUUGUGCCACUACACUCCAACCUGGGUGACAGAGUGAAACUCUUGUCUCAAUAAAUAAAUAAGUAAAUAAAUAAAAAUAAAAAGUAAAGAAACAACAGAUGCUGGCAAGGCUAUGGAGAAAUGGGAACGCUUUCUAUACUGUUGUUGCAAAUAUACACUAGUUCAACCAUUGUGGAAGACAGUGUGAUGAUUCCUCAAAGACCUAGAACCAGAAAUACCAUUUGACCCAGCAAUCCCAUUACUGGGUAUAUAACCAAAGGAAUAGAAAUCAUUCUACUAAAAGAUACAUGCAUGCGUGUGUUCAUUGCAGCACUAUUCACAAUAGCAGACAUGGAACCAACCUAAAUGCCCAUCAAUAAUAGACUGGAUAAAGAAAAUGUGGUGCAUAUACACCAUGGAAUUCUAUGCAACCAUAAAAAGGAAUGUGAUCAUGUUCUUUGCAGGGACAUGGAUGAAGCUGAAAGCCAUUAUUCUCAGCAAACUAACACAGGAACAAAAAAACAAACACCACAUGUUCUCACUUAUAAGUGGGAGCUGAACAAUGAGAACACAUGGACACAGGGAGGGGAACAACAUACACUGCGGCCUAUCGGGGGGGCUGGGAGAGGGAGAGCAUCAGGAUAAAUAGCUAAUGCAUGCGGGCCUUAAUACGUAGGUGAUGGGUUGAUAGGUGCAGCAAACCACCAUGGCACAUGUUUACCUAUGUAACAAGCCUGCACAUCCUGCACAUGUAUCCUGGAACUUAAAAUCAAAAAAUAAAAUAAAAAAACGUGAUUAUGAAAAAAUGUCUCA
rnacentral:lncRNA from 1 species